UACGGAGGUUGCAAGCGUUAUCCGGAUUUAUUGGGUUUAAAGGGUGCGUAGGCGGGCCUGUAAGUCAGUGGUGAAAUCCUGUCGCUUAACGAUAGAACUGCCAUUGAUACUGCAGACCUUGAGUGUAGUUGAGGUGGGCGGAAUGUGUAAUGUAGCGGUGAAAUGCUUAGAUAUUACACAGAACACCGAUUGCGUAGGCAGCUCACUAAGCUAUAACUGACGCUGAGGCACGAAAGCGUGGGGAUCAAACAGG
rnacentral:rRNA from 1 species